ACAGCAACUGGCACAAUGCUAUGCCACUUGUCACUAACAUUAGCUACCCACAUUAAAGUAGAAUAAGGACCUUGGUGGACUUCCACCUCUGCUGUUUCUCAUGUGUUCACAAAUACUAGGGAGCCCUUAGAAGCGUUUCAUCUAAGCUUGGAGUUUAUCCUCUAAGUUUCUUCUGUAUCAGUCUCUUUAUCAGUGUCACGGAGGUUGACAGAGUUCUAAAGAUUUCUCAAUUCCCUGGUCCGCAAGACCUGCAUGAUCUCUUGGCUGAAUAUAAUGUCUUUCCCUGUGAUGAGGCUACAUUAUACGUAUGGCAUGGUUGACUUCAACAUUGGGAGGUGAUCCAGAUGGGCCUGACUUAAUCAGGCUGCUGAAGGAAUCAGAUGAAGGAGAGGAGAGUCAACUACCAACUUGAGAAAACCCUGCCUGAGAAUAAAGUGACCAUGAGAAAAGGGAGAAAGAAGAACAGGGACCUGACAGCAUGCUUAUUUAGAUCCCUGGACCCAAUCAUCUAGACAAGAGCCAAUACAUUUUCUUUGCUCAAUUC